UCCCGCUUAUCACGGGCAGUUCCCCUAAAGUGCCCACCAUAACGUGCUGGCAACCAAGGGUGUGGGUUGCGCUCGUUGCCGGACUUAACCGAACAUCUCACGACACGAGCUGACGUCAGCCAUGCAGCACCUGUCCACCUGCCCCUUGCGGGGAAAACCUGUCUCCAGGCCGGUCAGGCGAUGUCAAGGAUUGGUAAGGUUCUGCGCGUUGCUUCGAAUUAAACCGCAUGCUCCACCGCUUGUGCGGGCCCCCGUCAAUUCCUUUGAGUUUUAGUCUUGCGACCGUACUCCCCAGGCGGGGCACUUAGUGCGUUAGCUACGGCACGGAACCCGUUGAUAAGGCCCCACACCUAGUGCCCAACGUUUACGGCGUGGACUAC
rnacentral:misc_RNA from 1 species